rnacentral:rRNA from 1 species
GAUGAACGCUAGCGGGAGGCCUAAUACAUGCAAGUCGAACGGUAACAGGUAGCAAUACGCUGACGAGUGGCGCACGGGUGCGUAACGCGUACACAAUCUGCCUUAUACUGGGGCAUACCCUUUGGAAACGAAGAAUAAUUCCCCAUAGUAUUAUAGAGAGGCAUCUCUUUAUAAUUAAAACUCUGGUGGUAUAAGAUGAGUGUGCGUCCGAUUAGAUAGUUGGUGAGGUAACGGCUCACCAAGUCAACGAUCGGUAGCUGGUCUGAGAGGAUGAUCAGCCACACGGGCACUGAGAAACGGGCCCGACUCCUACGGGAGGCAGCAGUAGGGAAUAUUGGACAAUGGGCGCAAGCCUGAUCCAGCCAUCCCGCGUGAAGGAUUAAGGUCCUAUGGAUUGUAAACUUCUUUUCUCUGGAAAUAAAAACUGGGGUUCUCCUCAGCCUGAAGGUACCAGAGGAAUAAGCACCGGCUAACUCCGUGCCAGCAGCCGCAGUAAAAC